rnacentral:rRNA from 1 species
UACGUAGGGUGCGAGCGUUAUCCGGAUUCACUGGGUUUAAAGGGUGCGUAGGCGGGCAGGUAAGUCAGUGGUGAAAUCUUUGGGCUUAACCCGAAAACUGCCAUUGAUACUAUCUGUCUUGAAUAUUGUGGAGGUUUGCGGAAUAUGUCAUGUAGCGGUGAAAUGCUUAGAUAUGACAUAGAACACCUAUUGCGAAGGCAGCAAACUACGCAUAUAUUGACGCUGAGGCACGAAAGCGUGGGGAUCAAACAGG